AUGGUGCUGGGACAACCAAGAAGUUGCACUUCAUCUUGGCUAGAAGCAAGGAGACCAAUUUAUUUCGCUACCUCGGUGCUAACUGUUUCCAUUGACAUCCAGAUCUGCUCUGACCAAGCAACUGUGACAAGUGGUUUAUUGAACUGUAAACGGGCACUGUCUGACUCUAAACAAUGGCUUUAUCUAAUUAUGAAGCCCCAUGCACCAUUUCGGUCCAGUGUUGUUCGUUAUACAAACAAGAUUUUAAUGUCAUUGGAAAAUUAAUUUAAGUCUGGCUUCACCUUGCUACAGUGAAAGGUAGUCUGCAUUGUGACUUUAUAAGCUGGUGGCUCGCAUCUGAAGGGAGCUGACUGGGAUGUUCUGACUGGAGUUUGUUGGACUAUGAAUACUUGAGAGGGCAAAAGUGAACUGCUUAGAAGAACAUCUAAAGGAAAGCGAAUAACUGAACAAAAUCUAUUGCUUAUGCUUUAAAUGAAUCUGAUAUUAUCAAGAUGAUUUUUUAAGAAUAACAUUGAUAGAAGAAAUAUAGGUGUACUUGUAGAAAGGAAAAUUGGAUCCUCAAGAAGAAGCUAACUGUGAGGCUUGGAACUACUAGCAGAAAUUGAAUAGGCCCACUUGAAAAGAACACCAUUAUUGUACCUAUUGCUUUGUCAGAAGAUAGUUGAUUUCAAUCAAAGCUUUUGUUUUCACCUGUCAGUAAGUCAGCUUCUUCAAGAACAUUCACCCAUAACCACAGAAAAAAUUCAGAGGGUUGACUUUAUUGCUGUAGGAAAAAAAAAAUAAAAAAUAUGGGACCAUAUGUGUAUAUUGCA
rnacentral:lncRNA from 1 species